AAGUCGUAACAAGGUUUCCGUAGGUGAACCUGCGGAAGGAUCAUUACUGAGUUCAUGCCCUUACGGGUAGAUCUCCCACCCUUGAAUAUCUAAACCUUUGUUGCUUUGGCGGGCCGCUUCGGCUACCGGCUCCGGCUGGUGAGUGCCCGCUAGAGAACCUUAAACUCUGAAUUACAGUGUCGUCUGAGUACUAUAAAAUAGUUAAAACUUUCAACAACGGAUCUCUUGGUUCUG
rnacentral:misc_RNA from 1 species